AUGGAUGCUUCAAGGGCAACUACGGAACAAUUAAUGGAGAGUGGAGAAGAUGCAAAAACUGCCAAAGGUGCAAAAUGGAUGGCAAAGAAGAGGAAAAGGGCUGUUGAAAGCAUAGCAGCAUUUUGCUAUGAAGCUGGGAUUCCUUUUAAUAUUCUUUGCAUAGAGAGUUUCCAGUUAAUGUUAGAUGAAAUUGGAAAAUUUGGCCCUGGCUUGCAGGGGCCCUCUAUGGAUGAGCUUCGAGAGAAUUUAUUGCAGGAGCAUGUUUCAGCUAUAACUGAUAAAGUUCGAUGGCUGAAGGAUUCAUUGGAGUUUGGGGGAUGUUCUAUUAUUCUUGACACUUGGCUUGAUGAAAAUGGAAGGCGCCUUAUGAUGCUGGGAGCCCACUCUAUUAUUGAGGAUGCAAGGUUAAUCACUGCUUUUAUAUAUGGAUGUGCACAUUUGUUGGACAUGAUGCACAAGUUCACCAACCAAAGGGAUAUAGUCCAAACUGGGAUUACGCAUUCCAUCACAUCCUACUUGAACUUGAGCCUUUAUGAUAAGAGGUUUGAAUUGAAGACUAUGUUUGUUUCUAGGGAUUGGGAGGACAGCAAGUGGUCCAAGGAAGCUGUG
rnacentral:lncRNA from 1 species